rnacentral:rRNA from 1 species
GAUGAACGCUGGCGGCGUGCCUAAUACAUGCAAGUCGAGCGAAUGGAUUAAGAGCUUGCUCUUAUGAAGUUAGCGGCGGACGGGUGAGUAACACGUGGGUAACCUGCCCAUAAGACUGGGAUAACUCCGGGAAACCGGGGCUAAUACCGGAUAACAUUUUGAACCGCCUGGUUCGAAAUUGAAAGGAGGCUUCGGCUGUCAAUUAUGGAUGGACCCGCGUCGCAUUAGCUAGUUGGUGAGGUAACGGCUCACCAAGGCAACGAUGCGUAGCCGACCUGAGAGGGUGAUCGGCCACACUGGGACUGAGACACGGCCCAGACUCCUACGGGAGGCAGCAGUAGGGAAUCUUCCGCAAUGGACGAAAGUCUGACGGAGCAACGCCGCGUGAGUGAUGAAGGCUUUCGGGUCGUAAAACUCUGUUGUUAGGGAAGAACAAGUGCUAGUUGAAUAAGCUGGCACCUUGACGGUACCUAACCAGAAAGCCACGGCUAACUACGUGCCAGCAGCCGCAGUAA